GGCUGUCGUCAGCUCGUGUCGUGAGAUGUCGGUUAAGUCCGCUAACGAGCGCAACCCUCGUCGUAUGUUAUAUGUGUCAUACGAGACUGCCGGUAAAAAGCCGGAGGAAGGUGAGGAUGAUGUCAAGUCAGCAUGACCUUUAUAUCCAGGGCUACACACACGCUACAAUGGUCUGUACAAUGGGUAGCCAAGCCGCGAGGCGGAGCCAAUCCUGAAAGCAGGCCUCAGUUCAGAUUGCAGUCUGCAACUCGACUGCAUGAAGCCGGAGUUGCUAGUAACCGCAGGUCAGCAAUACUGCGGUGAAUACGUUCCCGGGUCUU
rnacentral:rRNA from 1 species